UAAUACGAAGGGAGCUAGCGUUACUCGGAAUUAUUGGGCGUAAAGCGUGCGUAGGCGGUCUUAUAAGUCGGGAGUGAAAUCCUUGGGCUCAACCCGAGAAUUGCUUUCGAAACUGUAAGGCUAGAGUACUAGAGGGGAUGGUGGAAUUCCUAGUGUAGAGGUGAAAUUCGUAGAUAUUAGGAGGAACACCGGUGGCGAAGGCGACCAUCUGGCUAGAUACUGACGCUGUUGCACGAAAGCGUGGGGAGCAAACAGG
rnacentral:rRNA from 1 species